rfam:Candidatus Doudnabacteria bacterium RIFCSPHIGHO2_01_FTLL_46_14 rifcsphigho2_01_scaffold_70, whole genome shotgun sequence.
GCGGCUAUGGUUCAAUGGUAGAAUUUCUCCUUGCCAAGGAGAGGACACGGGUUCGAUUCCCGUUAGCCGCU